CCCUUAGAUGUCCUGGGCCGCACGCGCGCUACACUGAGUGUCUGAGAUACGAGUCUGCCUGGUCCGGCAAGGUCUAGGUAAUCGCUAAAAGACACAUCAUGCUUGGGAUAGAUUAUUGCAAAUAUUAAUCUUGAACAAGGAAUUCCUAGUAAGCGCAAGUCAACAGCUUGCGUUGAUUACGUCCCUGCCCUUUGUACACACCGCCCGUCGCUACUACUGAUUGGAUGUUUAAGCGAGGUUCUCGAACUGCUAGCGACUUAGCUUCGGUGAGGUCGCAGUGUGGGAAGUGAACCUAGCUUUGGUGUCUAGAGGAAGUAAAAGUCGUAACA
rnacentral:rRNA from 1 species